AAUGAAGAUCAGUGAAAGCUCAGUGAAGCCAAAGGUCACAGAAAAAUGGUGUGAUUAGAACACAAUAUCCAUUGUAUUCUAAGUGCCUAGGCCUGGGCUGGGUAUUCUGGAGAAUACAGAGGUAAACCAACUUGUGAACUGACCUUCUCUGUUGGUUUCUACUUUGCUGCACUAGUGGGUUUGCGCCUCUAUGACCCCAGGCUUGGCUCUGAUCCUCACUCCGGAUCUUGCUCCUGAUCUCUGGAGUGGUAGAAAUAAUCCAGCCCACACGUUUUAACUUGAAUGGAUUUCUGUAAGUGACUGCAUCUCUUUGAUCUGAGGCUCCUGUCUGCAAGGUAGGUAUAGUCAUAAUAAUUUCACCCAUUGGCCAGGGCUGAUGUUGGAUUAGGUCACCUCCAACACCACCUUGGACUCCCUCACUAGGUGUUGUGCUGGUGUGUGAACAUUAUAACCAAAGACGUGGCAUCCCCCGUCUAUGGGCUCCCCUCCUGGUCUCCACCCCAGCUCCGUUUCCUGUUCACCAUUUUUGGCUCUGAUCUAUGACCUCUGCUAGCAAAGCAGCACAUUUCUAAUUUGGCAGGGGCUGCUGUUCGUGUCCUUUUCUCUGCCCAGGACAAGAACGAUGUAAUUGGAACCACCAAUGGCAGACACAGAAAGAAAACAGGAUUGACAAGCUGGCACCAUGUGAGCCCAUGAGAGCCAAACCAUGGCAAGGGGAUUGCAGAGAGUCAGAUUCUCCACUGAGCCCUGCCCCGGCAGGAAGGCAAGCUCCAGUCAAGGGUGGAACAAGGUGACGCCCACGUUCAGCCAUAGGAAGCUCGCACAUCUCCUGCCACCAGCCACGACAGCCCCCGUCCUGCACAGGCAGGCCCGAAUCUUGGGAAACACAAUGGCUGCCGCCAUCACAGUUAUAGAUAUUCACAGGUCUCAGAGAAGCCCAAAUGCAAUCCUAGCUGACACGAUAACGGAUAUUUAGCAGGGAGUGGAGAGCCCAGGGAAGAAUACUGUGAUGCUGAUGGGGAAUAUUGAUGGAUGUGUGAAACCAGCCUGAAGACAGUUCUUGUAAAAAUGUCCUUGAAACCAUGAAAUUGGCGCAAGACCGAUCAGAACUGAGAUAGGAAAGUCACUCAAAGAACUCGAAAGCCUACCAGGCCAGAAAGGGUGGUCUACGACUUAAUUGGUUGUAUCAACCCAUGUAAGCAAGGACUAUGUCCUUCAGAAAUGGAUGAACGAGAAUGGAAAGCUGGAGGAAGGAGAGACAGUCACACAUGGGCAGUGCUCAUCAGGAAGGGCUCUGCUUGGCAACAGUGCGUCUGAUCCACCUGUCAGGUAUAUCCUUAUUUUGAAGGUGAGACUUCCUGGGAUUUUGGAGACUGAUGCUAAACUCUGAGCUCCAAGAAAGCAGGAACAAUGUAUCUAACUUGUUCACAGGGCCUCAUGCAAUGUAGGUAUUUGAUGAGUGUUUGUGGAAUGAACUCAUUGACUCUUUUAACAUUCAAAUCUUUCAUAUAUGCAUAUAAAUACAGAAGUUAUGUAUUGUA
rnacentral:lncRNA from 1 species